rnacentral:rRNA from 1 species
UACGUAGGGGGCGAGCGUUGUCCGAAGUUACUGGGCGUAAAGCGCGCGUAGGCGGUUGUUUAAGUUAGAUGUGAAAUCCCGCGGCCCAACUGCGGAACUGCAUCUGAAACUGGGCGACUUGAGGACGGAAGAGGGCAGUGGAAUUCCUGGUGUAGCGGUGAAAUGCGUAGAUAUCAGGAGGAACACCGGUGGCGAAGGCGGCUGCCUGGUCCGUAUCUGACGCUGAGGUGCGAAAGCUAGGGUAGCGAACGGG